UGGGAGACAGAGGAGUCUUGGACCAUGUGCGUAACACGAGCGUGGGACUGUGCGAUCUUUGGAUUGAAAAAGAAAGGAGUGGAAAUAACCCCGACAGUGUCAGGCUUGUUAGUGGUCGGGGACAGAUGAAUCCAGCCCUGUGCUGAUCGCCUGCCUUCCACCUCCCAAUUAGACUAUCACAGCCGGUGCUGCUGUCUCUUGUACUUACUGUAAAGGACCCUGGAAGAGGGAGUGGUUCAUCCUAGCUGCAAACAAGGGCGGUUUUUUGUUGUUGUUUGCUUCUUUUUUUUUUUCUUUUAAGAAUUACGUUUUAUAAGUAUGUCUGGGCGUUACAAGGGAAUGUGAACGACUUUUCAGAGAGAUUGUGAAUAUAUUUGAUGUGUUCUAAAAAGCUGGAAAUCCCUAAGUAAAUGCAGUAUCGAUAGAAAGCAAGUUUCUUGAAGAGUCACCUGCUAAACUCUACUAGCGUCAUCUCUACAAUUGGGAGCCUCGAAGUCUGAAAUCAAGGUGUCAGCCAGAUCCCCUCUGAAGUCCUGGCGAAGAGUUCUUCCUUGCCUUCUUCAGGUUCAUUUGACCUCAGGCAUUCCUUGGCUGUGGCAGCCUAACUCCAGUUUCUGCCUCCAUCUUCAUAGAGCCUUCUUCCCUCAGUCAACCUCUGUUUGCUCUUCUACUGGUAAGGAUACAAAUUAUUGGAUUGAACUUCACCGUACAUUCAGGAUGAUUUAAUCUGGAGACUAUUAAUCAACUACAUGUGCAAAUAUUUCUAAAAAAGAUCACAAACUGAGGUUCUGUGUGGCCAUGAAUUUUGGGGGAGAUCCUAGUCAACUCACUGCACUAGGAUAGUCGAAGAACUAAUUAGGAAUUGUCUCUGUUGAAGGGUUAACAUUGUGUUAGUAUCAUGACAAAUAUCCAGUAGGACAGCUUUGCAAAACAAUCAUCAGGGAUUUCUAUUUUGAGUCAUAAACUAAAUGUACUGCAUUUCAAGAGCCAGUAAAAAUGUGGAACAGCAUACCAAAUAGUUUUUGUCUUGUUAUUUUUGCAAUUCUUUGUUUCGCUUCAGGGAGAAAAUUGGAAUUGUUUGUUAAAAUGAUCAUUAAGUAUCAUAUAUGCAGAUGUAAAUGUUGUUUCUGUAUAUAAGAACUUCAUUAGGCAGAUUUUAGGUUCAUCCUAACAACUUAUAGCUGUAAAAAAUCAUUUUUACUAUGGCAAAGAAAACAUAUUAUUAUAUGAAGAAAGUAUCUUUAAAACAGAUUCUGGAACCUAAAAUUUAGGAAUUUUCAGGUUUGUAGACUAUUGUUUGUUAUACUAGUAAAAAUGUAUGCUUCACUAGCAAGGACUGAAGAGAAUAGUGAGUUUGCAUCCUAGAAAUGGUGCUGGGCUGCACUCCACAGGAUUACAAGGCCUGUCUUGCCUAGCUUCAAGAUGGAAGAAAAAGCUGAAUCAGAAAUAGAGACACCAAUGGUUUAGUGAAGAGAGGGAUCUUACAUAGCUGAAGCAAGGUCCUGGAGCAACACUCCACUGUGUGUAGCAGAAGACAGAUGUAGUGGCAGACUUUGCUCCUGGGGGGAAAGGAAGAUUACAAGUUAUAGGUGGAACUGAAGUCUGGUUGGCUUGUGGGUUACCAGGAAACCAGCAGCCAGGCAUGCCCCUUAUCACCCCUUUGAUAAACUAUUACAGUGAGAGUUCUGAUCUAUAGCUAGACUAGUCAUUAGCUAGGGUGUGGGGCAAGUAUUUAGGAAGAUAAAACAUGUGAGUGGGGUGUAGGGGAAGCAGAUACUGAUUGAGCAGAGGAUGUACAUAGAGCAAGAGAACAGACAUCUUGGGUGGCCUGACCAUACACAUGGGAAGUAAGAUAUACAUAGUGUUAUGCAAGGCCUUAUGAUUUUUUAUCUUGUAAAAUAUAUCUGUGAAUUAGGAAUAACUAGACAUUUAAGAAAAAAUGCUCUUCAGUUGAUUGCACACAGUUUAUGUCAAAACAUAAAAUUUGAGACUUCUUUUUUCUUUUUAGGGCCACACCUGUGGCUAUGGAAAUUCAUAGGUUAGAGUUCAAAUGAGAGCUGCACCUGCCAGCCUAUGCAACAGCCACAGCAACACCAGAUCCCAGCAACAUAUAUGACCUAUGCCCCAGCUUGUGGCAAUGCUAGAUCCUUAAACCACUGAGCGAGGCCAGGGAUCAGACCCGUAUCCUCAUGGAUAUUAGUCAGAUUCUUAACUUGCUGAGCUAUAAAUGGGACCUCUGAGACUUCUUAGGUCAAGAAAUUUCCUUCAAAAAAAAAAAGGAAGUUCCUGGUUGUGGCUCAGUGGUAAUGAACCUGACUAGUAUCCAUGAGGACAUGGGUUUAAUCCCUGGCCCCGCUCAGUGGAUUAAGGAUCCUGUGUUGCCUUGAGUUGUGGCGUAGGUUGCAGAUGCAACUCAGAUCCUGUGUUGCUGUGGCUGUGGUGUAGGCCGGCAGCUGCAGCUCUGAUUCCACCCCUAGCCUGGAAACUUCCAUAUGCCUUGGGUGUGGACCUAAAAAAAAAUUCCUUUUAUUUAAUUUAUUCUAUAGUAUCUGUAAACAACAACAACAAAAAGUGAGGAUAUUGACUCUGAAAUGGUAUAUAUAUAUUUCACAAUUGAUCUUAUGAAAAUAUUAGAAAAGUUAAACUGUUACUUUUAUCAAGUGUAAACAUGUAUGUUUUGGCUGUAAAAUGUUAUGUGUGUGUUUUUUACAGUGUGAGCAUACCCAGUUUUAUUGCACUUCACAAAUACUUUGUUUCUUACAAAUGGAAGGUUUGUGGCUAUGUUGCCUUGAGCAAGUCUAUUGGUGCCAUUUUUCCAGUAGCAUUUAUUCACUUUGUGUCUUUCUGUCAUAUUUUGGUAAUUCUCACAACAUUUCAAAAAUUCCACUGGCAAAAAGAUUAUGACUUGCUUAAGGCUCAGAUGAUGGUUAGCAUUUUUUAGCAAUAAAAUAUUUUUAAAUUAAGGUAUGUACAUAAUUUUCAUAGAUAUAAUGAUAUUGCACACUUAAAAGACUAGCUUAUAAUGUAAACAUAACUUUUCUACACACUAGGAAACAAAAGAAAUUUGUCUGACUUGCUUUAUUGCAUUAUUUGCUUCAUUGUGGUUGUUUGAAACUGAAUCCACAAUAUAUCUGAGGUAUGCCUAUUCAUCAACAUCAAAUAAUGAGUAAAAUAACAAUAAUAAUAAUAGCAAAAUAUUAAUAUUAAAAUGCAUUUACGAAAAAACAGUCUACUAAAAUCAGGUAUAUUUUAAAUAGUUAUAUUUUGGUUAUAUAACUUCACAAUAUAACAUUAAUGUUCAAACUUCAAUUAAGUUUGAGCAAACAGAUAUUACAAAUUUUAAUAUAGGUGAAUUAAACUGCUGAAUAGACCUUCUUUCAAAUAUAUGAUUUUAGGUUAAGUUUGUUCCUUAAUGUUUACUUUAACAGGUAGAAAGAAAUCACUGAUGGAUUAUAAAGCAAAGGUAAUAUGCUUGAACAUUUGACUGGGAACAUUCUUAUUAGGCAGAUCAAGGAAUUUUGUUUCUAACUCUUACACAGACUAAAGCUUGCUAUAAAUAUGUAGGUAGUAUUCAUUUAGGGAAACUAUCAAAUGGUGACUGUGGAAAAAUCAAAUACAUUGUGAGAAUUGUAUAGAUUGCAAUUUGUAAGAGAAAGUAGGACAUUUAACUUGCCCUAUAGGCCAAAAUACUUCAUAGUGUUGAAUAAUAUCUUUAUUAAUGAACAGCCAGAAGAGAUAAGCAGUACAUGAAUCCAAAGAAUAUUAUAAGUUUUUUUUCUUAGGGCCGCACCAGCAGCAUAUGGAAAUUCCCAGGCUAAGGGUUGAAUCCUAUCCUGUUGGCCUAUACCACAGCCCCAGCAGCUGGAGCUGUCUGUGACCUACACUACAACCCACGGCGAGGCUGGAUCCCCAACCCACUGAAUGGAGCCAGGGAUCAAAGCCACAACCUCACGGAUACUAGUCAGAUUCAUUCCCACUGUGCCACAACAGGAACUCGCAAGAAUGUUAUAAUUUUUGAAAAUAAAUAAAACCUAGGAAAGGCGGAGAACUGUAUCAGAAAAAAACAAAGGUGCAUGAAAAUAAAAGAUAAAAUUGAACUUUAAAAUGCAGAAUGAAAAAAAAUCAAAGAUGCUUGUUUAUUGCUAAUUUCAAGUCAGUAUGAAAAUCCAUCAUUAGAACCUCAUAAAGUUUAUUUAACAUCAUAGAAGAUUAAGGACAGCUUUUUCCUUCCUUUUUAAAAAAUAGUUGAUCUAUUGUCUCAUAUGGGCUUAUUAUUUUUCCCUCUCUCUCCACUUCACCUAUAUUCCUAUUUCGGUUUGCUUUUAGGAUUUAACUUUGAUUCUAUUUUCUUCUGGUUUUGUUCCCAAACUAGGAUAAACCAAAUAAUUUUUAUCUUUUUUCUUUUGAAUUCAUAUCUAUUCCCAGAAUUAAAAAUCACCUAUGGGAUUAUGAAAGAUUCUAAUAUAAAGAAUGUCCACUGGCCUUUUGCACAUGUCAGGCAGAACCUACAUGAGUGCAUGCCACAUAACUGGUAUUCAUUUAAUAUAGAUUAUACACUUAUUUCAAAUUUGUACAUGGAAAAACUCUAAUUAGAGCAUCUGUACUACACAUGUCCACCUUUUUUCUCCGUAUUCUUAAGAUUUCAAAGCCCCAAUAUUAGGUUUAAAUGUAAUUUUAAUUAGUCCGAGACAGUAGUUUUGGCUGCACCAUGGCAUGAUGAAGUGUUAGGGGCAGGGAUCCAACCAUACCACAUCAGUGACAAUGCUGGAUCCUUAACCAAUAGACCACCAGGGAACUCCAGUAUAAGACAUUUAAAAUUCAUGUUUAUCUAUAUGCACAUAUGAAUACACAUGAAUAUAAAUAUACUAUAGAUUUUUUUAAAGUGUACUGUAAUUAAGAGUUUCUGCUUCUCUGCAAGAUGAAGUAGUUUGCAUCAGGCUAUCAUUCCAACCAAAGAAAACUAGAAAACCCAGAAAAAAAAAAAAAAA
rnacentral:lncRNA from 1 species